rnacentral:rRNA from 1 species
UACGAAGGGGGCUAGCGUUGCUCGGAAUUACUGGGCGUAAAGGGCGCGUAGGCGGCCGAUCAAGUCAGAUGUGAAAGUCCUGGGCUUAACCUGGGAAUGGCAUUGGAUACUGGCGGACUGGAGUGCGGUAGAGGAUGGCGGAAUUCCCGGUGUAGCAGUGAAAUGCGUAGAGAUCGGGAGGAACAUCUGUGGCGAAGGCGGCCAUCUGGACCAGCACUGACACUGAGGCACGAAAGCGUGGGGAGCAAACAGG